rnacentral:lncRNA from 1 species
GAAGGAAGGAAGGAAGCAGGCGGUGGAGCGACGCGUGCGUGGCUGGUUGCGACCGGAACGGGUCUCGUUGUGGCGGCGUCUGGUGGGGGUGUGCCGGCCGACGUAGGGAUUUGUGGGGUUCUGGGCGCUUCUCGCCGCGGUCCGCGACCGUCGAGGUGUCUAGUGAGGUGCAUGGGUUGGACUUUGGAGUUUGUGCGUGUGUGUGGCUGGACAAACCACACGCAAGGAACUGGCAGAUGGACCAGGGAUGGAUACGUGACCUUGGAGAUCUGAACUGGCAGAUGGACCAGGGAUGGAUGCGUACGGCCGGUGGUGCCAAACUGGCAAGCAAGCAACGUGGCCGUGGCUACUGACGAACACAACCGGUUCCGAUCUCGACGCGCGACUAUGAGAUUCAGAUCAAACUCGAUGGCCACACAACAGGUUCUACCGUCAGGAUCAUUGCAUAAGCAAGCAAGGGCGGCUGCAGCGUGCCG